AGAAAGGAUGAGGCAGGCCAAG
rnacentral:miRNA from 1 species